AUAAAACCAUCCUUUGUCUCACCCUGGGGAACAGGUGCUUGGCAGUUACGUUGCCCAAUGGGUAUGUUCAGGCCCAAUUGAAUGAGAUGCUUUUAAGGUAUCCUUAAAGUGCAGAAAUCCUUGGACACAGGGCUUUAGAAUGCUCAUAAUUACUGCUGAUCUACAAAUAUUUUCAGGAGACCAUAAAUCACCCUAAAUAGCCCAAGGCUAUGGGAGUUCUUUUCUUUGGCUAGGAAUCUUCCAAGGCAGCUCAUGAAAUCUGAUGAUGUGGAGACAGAACACCACCACAGCCCUGUCAUCCUGCCCAGGAGGCUUGGAAAACAUCCUGCUCACCAGAGACAGUCCUGAAGACUUCAAUCCCAACCUCCUGCUUUACAAUGAGCAGCCUGGCCCAGAUUCCCAGGUGCUGGACCUUGAGUACCUGCCCUACUACAGAACAUCCCACCUCUGUGUCUGCCCAGCACCCCACAUCUACACAGAAAGAGAAAAAAGCUCCAAUGAAAGCAAGGCUAACACUAAACAGGAUAAGAAAAGCAUCCUGCCAAGUUUAGAGCUGAGCAAGAGGACAAUUUCUCCUACAAGCAAGGAAAAGCCCCCAGCCCAGGAGUUCCUGGGAGCCAGCAGCUCUGCACUUCACCUGCCCGUGCCCUCCUUCCCCAGCAGGCUCCCACACCUGACACAGCCCCCUCCCUGCAGUGGGUACUUCCCUUACUACAGGACAGAGGGAGGGAUUUGCACUGGCCCACUUCAAAGAACAGAGUCCUUCACUGGGAUAGAAGGUCUGGAGACCAAAGGGGGAGGACAAAGGGGAGGAUCAAGUAUUUGGAAUCUCCGUGACAGCUGCUUGGUGUCCUGAGAAGAAAGAAGGUGUUUUGUGGAUGCAGAUGUGAAGGAGAAACUCCUGAAACCUAUGGCAACAUGAAAAUCUGCAUGACUUUGAAUAAAAUGAAAAUAUUCCUUCUCUCACAAAAAAGCCAACAAGUGAUUUCUCAGACUGUGUAAUAGAAGCAGAAAGAAGCAGAGCAGGAGCUUGGGAAAUCCAAUAAAAUUUCUCUAGAUAUGA